UACGUAGGGUGCAAGCGUUGUCCGGAAUUAUUGGGCGUAAAGGGCCCGUAGGCGGUUUGUCGCGUCGGGAGUGAAAACUCAGGGCUUAACCCUGAGCCUGCUUCCGAUACGGGCAGACUAGAGGUAUGCAGGGGAGAAUGGAAUUCCUGGUGUAGCGGUGAAAUGCGCAGAUAUCAGGAGGAACACCGAUGGCGAAGGCAGGUCUCUGGGCAUUAACUGACGCUGAGGAGCGAAAGCAUGGGGAGCGAACAGG
rnacentral:rRNA from 1 species